rnacentral:rRNA from 1 species
GAUGAACGCUGGCGGCGUGCCUAAUACAUGCAAGUCGAACGAAGGUAGCAAUACCUUAGUGGCGAACGGGUGAGUAACACGUAGGUAACCUGCCUUUCAGUUGGGGAUAACCGAGGGAAACUUUGGCUAAUACCGAAUUCGUGCUUCGAAGGCAUCUUUGGAGCAUAAAAGGGGCCUUUAAAGCCUCGCUGAUUGAUGGACCUGCGGCGCAUUAGUUAGUUGGUGAGAUAACAGCCCACCAAGACGAGGAUGCGUAGCCGACCUGAGAGGGUGAACGGCCACACUGGAACUGAGACACGGUCCAGACUCCUACGGGAGGCAGCAGUAGGGAGUUUUCGGCAAUGGGGGAAACCCUGACCGAGCAACGCCGCGUGAGUGAUGAAGGUCUUCGGAUUGUAAAGCUCUGUUAUAAGGGAAGAACGGCGGCUAGAGGAAAAUGCUAGCUGUUUGACGGUACUUUAUGAGAAAGCCACGGCUAACUACGUGCCAGCAGCCGCGGUAAAACGUG